AGCGUCACAUGAAAGGGUUGGUGGGAUGAAAAUAAAACUAAAAAUAAUGCAACAAUAUUAGAAUGUCAUUUUGUUGUAUUUAUUAGUUAUUUAGUAGACCGAAUUUUCCGUUGUUCGUUAUCGUAAAUAGAAUGUUCAGGGUACAAUGAAAUCUGUUUUCAUAGAUAGAACUAUGAUGGAAUCAAGAUAUUGAGGUUAGAGCUUCACUUCAGACUUCUAUUAUGUGAUAGUCAAUGGGCUAUUGUUAAAUCAAGUGGCUUCAAACCUUAAGAAAGUGUAUUAUAUUUUAUUCUACGACAUUUUCCCUCAGACAACUAAUGUUGAUACUUGGAUAUAUAUUGCAUCAACUUAUGUUUACACAUCUAACUACUCUAAAAUAGCAAAUAUUGAGGGUUCAAUUCUAUGAUUAUUUCUGUGGGUAAUCAUAUCAUUACUGGGUUCCCACAGCACAGUGAUUGUUGUAUCAUUGGAGGACGAAACUAUGAUGUAUAAAUCCUUCCAUAACUGGUAUCAAUAAUGAAUUGGAUCCAUUGUGGGUUAUAUGUACCAGAACUAUGGUUAUUGGUAUGACUUUUGGAAGCCGGGGUUCAAUGAAAUUUAACUACCAAGUAUUCAAAUGACAUAAAUGGAAUGGGUUGUCGCCGAUAAAUUGAAUAAGUAUGAAUAAUAUUUAGAGUAUUGACUGAACCAACGUGCUUCUAUUUUAUUGUAACGAAACAAAGUUCGUUUUGUGAGAUAAAAAGAGUAAUACUAAUCACGCUGUUAAUGAAUAAGAGAAGGAAUGAGAAAAGGACUCUAAGGAAUUCAUAUAUAACCAACUGCCACAGUUUAUCGUCUCUGCUGUUGAAGGGGUUUAUAUAUUCACUGCAUCACUAAACACCCUUUCAUAAACGUGAUGUAGAACGACCUAAGGCGUCACUGCACAAAUUUAAUCGCAUACGCAGUAAUUUUCACCUGCAGCAAACUCAUUUACACGAGGAGUGAUUACGUCUUGAUGCUGGUAAAACUACUGAUGGCAUGAAAACCUUGAGUUACGUGCAUUCACUAAGGACACAAAUAUCAUCAGCAGAAAUACUCCUAGACUGCUGCAAGUGAGAGAAAUUGUCCCUACGAUUUCGUUAUCGUCAAUGCAAACGAAAACGAGGGCAAUUAAAGUAAGCAAACGGAUAUAUAAAUGGACUUUGAAAGUGCAUGAAUAUCGAGUAAGUUCUCUUAUUCGAUGGAGGGAAGCUACGCCUUCGACUUCCUAUUGAAGACAAUGCCCAUUGUCUUGAUAAUAGGUACGUUAGAGGGUGUCGCGUAAUCUAGCAAUUCACUUCAAAAGCUAAAAGCUGCACGCGCACCUGUAAAUGAACGAGUAUAUAAGGAUUAUAACGAUGAGGAAAAUCAAUCUUCCAGGAGUAAAAUAGAUUCUUUUCAAAUGGUGAGAUUAAGAAUGAAAUUAAAAUAAAUUUUAUGCACUCAAUAAUAUUUUCGUUCAUUAAAAUAACCAGUUUUAAUGGUAAAACUUGGAUCCAAUUACUGGUAAUACCCCUGAUAAAUAUA